rnacentral:rRNA from 1 species
GGAUUAGAUACCCUGGUAGUCCACACCGUAAACGAUGAAUGCCAGUCGUCGGAUAGCAUGCUAUUCGGUGACACACCUAACGGAUUAAGCAUUCCGCCUGGGGAGUACGGCCGCAAGGUUAAAACUCAAAGAAAUUGACGGGGGCCCGCACAAGCGGUGGAGCAUGUGGUUUAAUUCGAAGCAACGCGCAGAACCUUACCAACCCUUGACAUCCUGAUCGCGGUUACGAGAGAUCGUUUCCUUCAGUUCGGCUGGAUCAGUGACAGGUGCUGCAUGGCUGUCGUCAGCUCGUGCC